rnacentral:rRNA from 1 species
UUCCCCUAGUAACGGCGAGUGAAGCGGGAUGAGCUCAAGCUUAAAUCUCUGUUUCAAAUUUAUUUUGUGCGGCGAAUUGUAGUCUAUAGAGGCGUGAUCAGUGUAGGCGCUUGAGAUAAGUUCCUUGAAAAAGGACAGCAUGGAGGGUGAAACUCCCGUUCAUACUUAGGUGGCUUGCACGUACGAUCCGUUUUCUUUGAGUCGCGUUGUUUGAGAAUGCAGCGCAAAGUAGGUGGUAAAUUCCAUCUAAAGCUAAAUAUUGGUGCGAGACCGAUAGCGAACAAGUACCGUGAGGGAAAGAUGAAAAGAACUCUGAAAAGAGAGUUAAAGAGUACCUGAAACUGCUGAAAGGGAACCGAAUCGUUUCUAGUGUCUAUAAUCUAUGACAUAUUUCAUUGGGAAGUGUGUGCGUGUGUAUACUAUGGCAGUGGCUUUUUUUGAGUUGCGCUUGGUGUGCGUGCUGUAUGUGCUAACUGAUGCCCUGUGUUAUAGUGGGACGUCAAGGUCAGUUUGUAUACUGCGGGAAAUGGCUACUGAGGAGGUAGGGCUUACGCUUGCGUUUGUCUAUUAUAUCUUGGUAGUUGUGUCGUGGUUGAGACUGAGGUGUUCUACAACGUGCUUAUGAGUGGGUCUGUGUCUCCGUGUGCGCCGUGUGCAGAUAGCUUGCUAUGUGUGUGUGGUGGUGUG